rnacentral:lncRNA from 1 species
GAAAACCUCUUUUCAAAACAAGUUCUCCUAUCUAAAAUAUAUCUUCUCUUUUCAAGCUUCCUCUUCCUUAGUUGAAUCCUCCAAUCUUAAAUAACGAUCUUGGGCUAGCAGAAGGUCUCCGAAUAAUACUUUUCUUCUGCUAUUUCUUUACAUCUAAAAGAUGAGCACAUGAGCUUUUCAUAUCCACGUAAACAAACUAAUGAUGAUAGUUUCCCUAUCACAAUAUAAUUUUAAUAUUAUAAAUCAAACAUGAAACAGUCCCAAAAUAAUGCAUAUGCACUAGUAAGUCAGCCACAAAAGUGUAGUUGAGGGUAUAUAGACGAAUUUGAUAGUUUACUUUUUGUUUGUUUAUGCGGUACCAAUAUGGUGAAUGUUAUAGCCGAGAUGAACAUCCGUUAAAGCAAGAGACAACAAAUACUAGCAUUGCUCAUUGGCUUACAUGCUGCUUACACAAAACACUUGACACCGUUACUUAUUGAAACAGAUUCUCAGGUAUUACUCUCUCUUAUGAAAGCACCAAAUAUGAAAUACUUACACAUUUUCUAUGAUUGCAGGUCCCUCAUCGAUGAUCUUCUCUCGCCAGAACUGCGCCACAUCUACAGAGAGGGCAAUGGUGUGGCUGAUGCUCUUGCUAAAGCUGGAAAGGCCAUAGAUCCCCUUACCGACCAAUCCACAACCUUUUUUAUUACCCCCACACCUUUUGCUUUUGUAUUUUUUGAACAAGACUUAAUAGGGGCGGCAUCUCUACGAUCAGUCCCUACUUGUAAUAACGCUACUUAGUUUUAUAUUCAAUAAAUGCAUCUGUUUA